UACAGAGGGUGCGAGCGUUAAUCGGAAUUACUGGGCGUAAAGCGCACGUAGGCGGCUAGGUAUGUCGGGUGUGAAAUCCCCGGGCUCAACCUGGGAACUGCAUCCGAAACUGCCUUGCUAGAGUAUGGGAGAAGGAAGUGGAAUUACCGGUGUAGCAGUGAAAUGCGUAGAUAUCGGAAGGAACACCAGUGGCGAAGGCGACUUCCUGGACCAAUACUGACGAUCAGGUGCGAAAGCGUGGGGAGCAAACAGG
rnacentral:rRNA from 1 species